rnacentral:rRNA from 1 species
CCCUUAGAUGUCCGGGGCCGCACGCGCGCUACACUGAAGGAAUCAGUGUGGCUUUCUCCCUGACCCGAAAGGGUUGGGAAACCCGUUGAAUCUCCUUCGUGAUAGGGAUUGGGGCUUGAAAUUGUUCCCCAUGAACGAGGAAUUCCCAGUAAGCGCGAGUCAUAAGCUCGCGUUGAUUACGUCCCUGCCCUUUGUACACACCGCCCGUCGCUACUACCGAUUGAACGGUUUAGUGAGGGCCUCGGAUUGGUCUCGGCCCGCUCUUUACCGGGCGGCGCCGUUGGUCGAGAAGACGCCCGAACUUGAUCGUUUAGAGGAAGUAAAAGUCGUAACA